GGCUCAUCGGACUACCAGUUGUAUUUCAAUUCAGUGUUACAUAGCUAUACAAAAAAAAAAGUCUUAUCUCCUUCAAGGAUUUGUGUCACAAGCUUUCUGUGAAAUAUUCUAAGUAAAUGUGAACAGAUACUUUGUGCUCAGUCUGAUCUCCUGCCUACAGGAUGCACUUACUAGUGAUAAGGGUGUUUUGUUUUUCCUGAUUCAGUAGUGUUGACCGAACUUUUGCAGCAUAUUCAUCAACCUACUGCAGAGUUUAGUCAAUAAACCCCAAGGUCACACCUAUGAAAUAUUUGAGGUGAUAUAUAUGCAUAUUAAAGCCUGUGUUUGCAUUGAAACUAUGUUUAACCGGGGGAAUUCGUUCUGUAUUGAAUCCUAUAUUUUUGUGAAAAUACUCCUGGUUUGUGCUUUAAUUGACCGAUCUAUUUUUCUAGCCAGCAUGGUUUCAUAACAACACCAUAUGUUUUUUUAAUAAAAUAUUACAGCACAUUGAUUACCUCACUAUUAGCCUUAUUUACUAAGAACUGUUGAAAUGCACUAAAUAAAUCCAGCAAUGGUACUGCAAAUAUUUGUGAAAUACAUUUCCUGGAAUACUUAAUCAACCUAGAGGUUGGCUGAGCAUCAUGGGAAAAUGUCCACAAACAUCCCCCAUAUUUAGCCGUCACUGGUAUGCACCAGUCUCCUGAAUAGGCCAAAGCAUGUCUUGUCUGUCUGUGUCAGUUACCACAUAGAUUUAUCUGUCCGAAAAUGCAACUUUUUCUGCUGAAAUAAGUGAACUCCAUUCAAAAG